AUUGAACGCUGGCGGCAUGCCUUACACAUGCAAGUCGAACGGCAGCACGGGGCAACCUGGUGGCGAGUGGCGAACGGGUGAGUAAUGCAUCGGAACGUGCCAUUGAGUGGGGGAUAACGUAGCGAAAGUUGCGCUAAUACCGCAUAUUCUGUGAGCAGGAAAGCAGGGGACCGCAAGGCCUUGCGCUCUUUGAGCGGCCGAUGUCAUAUUAGCUAGUUGGUGAGGUAACGGCUUACCAAGGCGACGAUCUGUAGCGGGUCUGAGAGGAUGAUCCGCCACACUGGAACUGAGACACGGUCCAGACUCCUACGGGAGGCAGCAGUGGGGAAUUUUGGACAAUGGGCGCAAGCCUGAUCCAGCCAUGCCGCGUGAGUGAAGAAGGCCUCGGUUGUAAG
rnacentral:rRNA from 1 species